GGAGAAACUGCUCUUGGUUUCAGAAAACUUAUUUUAAGCCACGUUUCUUGUAUCACCAUUUCAAAAUACCACAAUGCACACGACAGCUAUUUGCCCAAGGAGAGGGAUGUCUUCGUAAGGGACUUUUUAUGGAAAGCUGGCUUCAAAGUCAGUGACCUCAACUGAGAAAAGAAGUUACACGUUGAAAGUAUCGAGGUAUAAAUAAAUGAAAAUCAUUACUUUGCAUGUUGACUAAAAGCAUUUUCACGCAAGUUGUACGAACAUUUCCACCCAAUUAUGUUUGAUGUGUCUGCACUAUUUCUUUUUUGAAAAAAGUAUUUUUCACUUUUGUCUACAAUAUUUUAAGAAAAAUGUAUUUUUUCUCUUGUUUGACAAGUUUAAUCACUUGCUUUUCCUUAUCUUCGCAUGUUCAAGAUAUCUCAUCAAACAGAUUGCAAGUAGUACUCAAAUACGAAAUGCAACAUAUUUGCUAAUAUUAUGCAUGAAGACUUUUAUUGAGAU